rnacentral:rRNA from 1 species
GAUGAACGCUGGCGGCGUGCCUAAUACAUGCAAGUCGAGCGAACAGACGAGGAGCUUGCUCCUCUGAUGUUAGCGGCGGACGGGUGAGUAACACGUGGAUAACCUACCUAUAAGACUGGGAUAACUUCGGGAAACCGGAGCUAAUACCGGAUAACAUGUUGAACCGCAUGGUUCAACAGUGAAAGACGGUCUUGCUGUCACUUAUAGAUGGAUCCGCGCCGCAUUAGCUAGUUGGUAAGGUAACGGCUUACCAAGGCAACGAUGCGUAGCCGACCUGAGAGGGUGAUCGGCCACACUGGAACUGAGACACGGUCCAGACUCCUACGGGAGGCAGCAGUAGGGAAUCUUCCGCAAUGGGCGAAAGCCUGACGGAGCAACGCCGCGUGAGUGAAGAAGGUCUUCGGAUCGUAAAACUCUGUUAUUAGGGAAGAACAAAUGUGUAAGUAACUAUGCACGUCUUGACGGUACCUAAGCAGAAAGCCACGGCUAACUACGUG